AAAAAACCCAAGAAAGAUUAAAUAGACUGAACAUCAUGUAUGAUGAAACUCUUUUUUGAAAACUAGUCUGUAAAAUCUUUGGAGCUUUUGGGAGUGAAAUUUUACUGCCUUGGAAAAAGAGUGAAAGAAACAGCAAGAAACAGCAGAAGUUUUGCACAACUGCUAUCUUCAAGAUCAAUCUCCAUGAGGUAUUUCACUAAGUACAAAAAUAACAGUGGUGACAAAUGGGCCUUGAAUAACUUUAAACCAUCAAUUGCCAUCUGAUUGCUUUGAAGAUGAUUUAGGUUUGUGGUAGUGAAUGCAAUCCAUAAAUUACCGUGAAUGCAUUCUACUUGAACAAUGCCGAUUUUCUUUUUCCAUCUCCAUGUUUUAUGUCUAGAUU
rnacentral:lncRNA from 1 species